GUGCGCUCUUGUCUCCGCUCUAUGGCUGCUUCUGGCAAUCUUUUUCUUUCUUGUUUUCCAUUCGGUCUCACCGCCAUCAAACCCUUGCUGCCCUGAAAACUCUUCGCUUCGUAUUUUCUCUCGCUCACAGCCACCUUCAAAACCUCUCAAAGCAGCAAAUUCAGUUCUACAAUCUCUCACACUUAAUCCAAAACCCUCAAACCAAAAACUCGAUUUCAAAUAUCAAGCGGCUACGGUUUUAAGGUUUUCUGUUGGACAGCUCGACUUCUCUCUCUGCCAUUCGACUGGUGUCUCCUCCACAAAGUCGAAAAGAAAUUCUUGACAGCUUCCCUAUUACCACUGCAAAAGCUUCUUCAUAUUCUCCCUCAUUUCUUCAUCCUAAACUCUAAUUUCCAAAAUUAUUCGGUAAUUUCACAUUUUUAAUUUUGUACAGGCGUGAGUACGAUGCGUAUUUCUACAAGGCCUUCAAGGUGUACACGCAUCUAUGGAAAUUUCAGCAAGAAAAUCGCCAGAAACUCCUCCCCCUGUCUCUCUCAUUCUUGAGUGGUCGUUGCUGGACCGGCAAGAAAAAAGUCUACUUUGCAUAACGACACACCUGCUUUUUUGCAGCAAGGACCAAAACAAGUACAAGUGAAGGCUCAACUGUUUGGUUCUAUCGGAAUCUUCUCUGAACCCAGAAAAAAUUUAGCCUUCGGACGACGCUGACUGCUAUAAUCUAAGUGGUUUGGCAACUAAUAGGUGGUAUUAUAGCUCGGAGCUGAUUUACAGAUUUUAAAAAUGGUGGAUGCUAGGCAAAAAAUGCUUGGACAGGUAAUUCAAUUUCAAUGCCAAGACCGUUCGUUUCUUUUGGAUAAUUUUGAUCUUCUGCUGAUUUCGACUGAAUUCUAAAAAAAAAUUAAUUUUCUUAGUUUAAUUUGUAGUUGUUCAUUUCUGAUGAAGAGCUGUGAAUGUUAUGAAUUGCUACAGGUUUAAACUAACGAUCUGUUCAACAAUAUGAAAUUGCUUUGUGUUUUAAGAUCUUCAUCCGAAUAAAGUUUCGUUAUUUUGUAUGUUAACGGACACCCAUUUGCAGUUCGAAGCCGAUGUGCAUAUUUUGAAAAUGGUGUAUGCUGGGGCCAAAACGGCUUGGACAAGUAAUUCAAUUUCAAUGGCUAGACCGUUCUUUAUUUUUUUUUUUAUUUAUUAUUUUUUUUUUGCGUAAGUUUGGUCUUCUGCUAAUUUCGACCAAAAAAAAAUAAUAAUUUGUUUAGUUUAAUUUGUAGCUUCUUUGCACGAAGCGUCCUCCCUCCUCCUCCUACCCCACAUCACUCUCUUCUGGAACGCAAAGCAAAACCUAAAAUUUAAAAGAAAAAACCCAAAACCACUGCUCCCUUUUUGUAUUGAAAAUUCAUUUGCUCUUUUCUUGAAAGCUUUCAAAAAUCGAGUGACAAUACCUUAUCGAAAUUGAACAAAAAUUGAGCAAAAUGAAUAGGAAAUUUAAGAUGAUGAAAGUGGACGAAGAAGAAGCAUAAAACAGACGAUGUGAGAAACGGCUAUGUGCGGUUGAGUUGUUUCUCCUUUUUCUAUGAAUAUUGGGGAUUAUGUAAGCGGUUGUGGCCUCUUGAACGUGCGGUCGGUUACAGUUUCCAUUGUAGCAACUGCUUGUAGAAUGUCUUUCAUCUUAAGGGUCACAAUUUGUUUGAAUAGGGGAUGUCUUUCAUCUAACGGUUGUAAAAACAUCUCCGAAUAUUAUAUUGUGUGUAUUACAAUUUCAGCCCUAUUAUAGUUGCGUAUUACGAUUUUAACCAUAUUCUAUUAAGAUGAUUUUGCGUUUUUUUUUUCCUAAAGUGAGGCCAUUCUUGGCAUUUUGAAUGUUUCACCAAACUUCCUUGACUUAGAGGAUCAUAUAAAUGAUGCAACCUACAUGGUGGAAAGGGCAGUGGUAACUCCUACAAAUGAAGACGUUGAUAUGUUGAAUGAAAAGAUAAUCAAUAUGUUUCCGGGUUUAGAAGAGACAAUGUAUUCAUUUGAUUCAGUUGAGGAUGACACAAGGA